rnacentral:lncRNA from 1 species
AUACAGGUAGAUGAUAGAUAGAUAGAUGAUAGACAGACACACAGGUAGAUAGAUAGAUAGAUAGAUAGAUAGAUAGAUAGAUAGAUAGAUAGAUAGACAGACAGAUAGAGAGACAGACAGACAUACAGGCAGAUAGGCAGAUAGAUAGAUAGAUAGAUAGACAGACAGACAGACAGACAGAUAGACAUACAGGUAGAUAGAUAGAUAGAUAGAUAGAUAGAUAGAUAGACAGACAGACAGACAGACAGACAGACAGAUAGACAUACAGGUAGAUAGAUAGAUAGAUAGAUAGAUAGAUAGAUAGAUAGAUAGAUAGAUAGACAGACAGACAGACAGACAGAUAGAUAGACUGGCAGGUACAUAGGUAGGUAGGUAAGUAGGUAGUUAGGUAAUUAAAUAGAUGGAGAGAUAUACAAACAGACAAUAAGAUGACAGAUAACUAGCUAUCUACAUAGAUAGAUUGAUAGGUAAGAUAGACAUUUAUGCACAGGUAUGUAAGAGAUAGAAAGGGAAGAAAUAUUGCUUUGAGAUGGCAAGAAGUGGUACAGAGAGAGGAGUUAAUUUCACUAAUCAGAUCCUAGGGGCAAGAGUUUUAAUAUCUGAGUUCUAGUGGGUGACAUCAAAGUGGUCCAAAGGCUAGAAGUAUGACACCUAGAUGACCAUAUAAGAAAAGUUCUCUGAGACCAUGUAGGUUAAUUUCCUUAUUUUAAGGAUAAAGAAACUGAGAUUUAAUGGUGAAGUGAUUUUUCCAUUGUAAAUACUAUCCCACAAAAGGAUCCAUGGACAAAGACACCCUGCCUCAGUCUACUAUAGCUUCACACUCAACAAUGAGAUGGAUACAAAUGCAACCCCAACCCUGACAUUACCUGCAAUGUACAGUGAAAGGAGGAUUGGACUAAACAUUAGAAGAACUAGAGAUGAAGAAAUUGAGGUCUGA